rnacentral:rRNA from 1 species
UACAGAGGGGGCAAGCGUUGUUCGGAAUUACUGGGCGUAAAGGGCGCGUAGGCGGCCGCCUAAGUCAGACGUGAAAUCCCUCGGCUUAACCGGGGAACUGCGUCCGAUACUGGAUGGCUUGAGUUCGGGAGAGGGAUGCGGAAUUCCAGGUGUAGCGGUGAAAUGCGUAGAUAUCUGGAGGAACACCGGUGGCGAAGGCGGCAUUCUGGACCGACACUGACGCUGAGGAGCGAAAGCCAGGGGAGCAAACGGG